rnacentral:lncRNA from 1 species
CACACACGAAUGAGUCAUGAGCAACUAGUUUACUCAGUGAAUCUAUAAUCACAACACAAUCAAUAAUAAACCAAACAAUUAUCAAAUACAUAUACAUGAUCAUGCAAGUAUUAGUACUAUACUUUAGUAUACCAAUCAUCAUUGUGAAUUCUUAUUUUAAACAUCACUUCCUCAACACCCGCCCGUUACCAAACUCAUAUAAUACAAUAUAUAUACUAGGCCCGAGAAACCACUAAGGCUAACCGAGACUAGUGAGUUAGCAUC